UCAUUUCUUUCCGUUUUAAAUUUCUUACUUGUAUCUCCAACACAAGGAAAUUGGAACUAUAGAGGAUUAUAUGUAGCGAUUGUUGGUGAUUAUAUAUAUCUACUUGUUUGUUUUCCCUGCACCUUCUAAAUACUUGCAUCAUAUGCUUUCAUGUCGUGAUGUACUUUUUUAUAUAUCUCCGAUUCUCCAUGCAGUAAUUAACCACUACGGUCUUUUUACACCAACAAAUUAUAUGAUAACAUAUAGAAACAGUUCAUUGCUUCCGUAAUAUCUGCCUUGGUACAUGUUCUCUUGUAUCACUACAAAACCUUUCACGUCCAACAAUGUGAAAGCAAAUUCUCUGUAAUAGAAAUGGACAUCUGCUAGCGACAUUUCAGAUAAUAAUAAAGUGUACUUAUGCACCAUCUGGUUGGAAGGAAUGAACGGGAAAAACAUGAACAAAAUCAAAGGUAAACGAGAAGUAUACAAGAGUGAAGAGUGAUGAAGAACUAGAAAGUGCAGACUUUAUUAUGAGUUUCACAAUAUAAUGAGUAAAAUAUAGGAAUGAUCAUUUAUCCCUAUAUUGGUAAGAUUGAGAUAUUAGUUUUUUUUUGUGUGCCAAACUAGUACAAAUUUCAUUUCAUUCUCCCUAAACGUAAUUCUUCCAACAAAAUGGGGCAUUACAUAAAGGUAUAAAGAUGAGGAGAUUAAAGAUUGACAGCUGCGAUAAGGGAAGGUAUGGAAAACAUGUGUAACUAUAUAAAUGUCGAACACCAAUAAGAUCCAAAUAACUCAGAUAACAUCCAAACUCAGUAACAAAUUGGUUAACAGAUAAAAUUCAGAAGCGAAUGCAAAAUAGUUUAUAAAAUUAGAUUCUAAGAUUCAAAAUUUCUAGUAUUCAGAUUAUAUGCAGAUGAAAGAGGAAGGGAGAUUUAUUGAAUAAUUUAGGCUUGACAAAACACAAUAAAAUGAUACACAUAGACUAGUAUACUCUAAUACUUAAUGAGCAGCAUAUAUUCUUAUUCUUAACUACCGUCUAUUCUAUUAUAUCAAAGAAACAUAAAUUAUUGCAAAGCUGUAAAUUCACAUUAAGAAGCUUAAACAAAUUACACAACUAGAAAUCAACCACUCAAAUUGGAUAUAAUUGGAUAAAUAUCUAAAGAGAUCAUAACUAAGAACCCUAAUUUCAAAGUUAUAAAUGUAUGUAUAUAAAUGAUUCAAAAAUCAGAACUCUGUAACACAAAAAAGCUAGCUGAACUGAGAUGAAGUAGAAAGCAGCAACAAAACAUUUAUGAAUUAAAUAUCUAAAGCUGAUCUAAUUACAAACAUCAACUCACAGUUAUCAAGAGGGGUGUAUUGGAUUGGGAUUUUAAAUCAUUUUUUUGCAUUCAUGAAAUCCGAGGGUAUUCGAUUGAGAUUAUUUGAAAUGCAUUAAAAUCUUGGGGUAUUCAAUUGGGAUUUUGAAUUAUGCUACAAAAUCUGGUGGUAUUCAAUUGGGAUUUUAAAUUAUGCUUUAAAAUCCGGUGGUAUUCAAUUCGGAUUGUUUAAAAUCCAUUAAAAUCUGAUGGUAUUCAAAUGUUGUCGGAUUUUUUUUCAUUUCAUAAAAUGGUGGAUUUUGUGGCAUUGUUCGAUGUAUUUUAAGUUUUAUGAAAUCCCACCAAAAUCAAUGGGAUUUUGAAGCAUUGUGCUUAAAUCCUAUCAACUCUGCGACAUUUCAUCAAGAAUCCGCACAAAAUCAAAAUCACAUGCAAUCCAUUAAAAUCCAUAGACUAAAAACAAUCCAUUAAAAUCUCAAUCGAAUACACCCCCGCAAUUUAUUAAUCAGAUGAGAGGAAGGAAGGGAGAGGGUCAGAGGGAGAGGGAGAGGGAGAGAGAGAGAGAGAGAGGAGUUACAGUGCUACGGCGACGUUCAGCGGCGAUGGAGAAGCCAAAAGCGACCAAGCAUAGUAUUAUUACAAGAAGAUGAACGAGAGAUGAGCCUUUCCCUGCCCCCAUUAUUGUUUCUAAGGGCAUCUUUGAUCACAAUUUCAAGCUUCAUAUUUUUUUCACUUUUAAUUUUAUAGAUAGAUUAAUCAAUCUCCAAUCAUCCAUUUAUCUUCCUAUGUAAAGUCAUUUACUAGAUAAAUUAUAUUAUUUUAUAAAAAAAAAUUAAAUAACGAAAUAUAUGAUCUUUCUCGGAUGAAGAUAACUUGCAAAUUUAAUGGUAUAGUUUAGAAAUUGGGGUUGAGAAGUACCAGUAGUUAUGCUAUAUUUACCUGAUGAUCUCGUAUCGUAACUUUUUUUACACGUGGGAUUUUUUUGCUUACAGCUCAUACUCUAUAACACACUUCCGCCAUUUCACAUGUGACUUCAUCUUUUGACCAGGGUUCUGUAAAUAGAAUUUUGAGCAAGAUCCCCUUAAUACAUAACUGAAUAAACAACACUCGUAGAGAUGAAUUCUGCUGGCGGAACUAGGGAAGAAACCCUAGCUUAGUCAAAGUUUUUUUUUUCUUCCAGAUAUUUGUUUUUUUUCAGAUAUUUUUUUAUUUGAGCUCUUAAAAAUAACAGUGAACCAAUAAAAAGUAUUUAUUGUGCAAAUUUUAAUUCUAGAUUAUUUUGAUUCAUGUCAUAUUGUCAUUGACUAACAGGCCAAAGUCAUUUUGUUAAUGGGCUCUAUUUUCUUGACCAAAAUCAUACUGUUUCCCCUACUAUUAUCCUGAGCCCAUGUUUUCAAAUUUCAAUUACGCCCAACCACCAGUCCAGAGUAGUUGUUGUUGGGCCACAAGGUAACCAUCCAAUGUCUAAACUAAUCAUAGUCCAAAUAAAAUUUUUUCAUAAAAACUGCGUGUACGUGAAUCCAGGGCAGAGGACUGAACAUGACUCCACUUGAGUUGAGCAAGAAAACCGCAAUCAUAUAUCUUUGAUUUUUAAAAUUGAAAACCGCAACCGUCAAUCGGGGUCGGUUUCGGUUUCGGUUUAAGAAACUUCGAUUCGGUUAAUAGUCGGCUCGGUUUCGAUUACAAAAUCGACAAAUAUAAGAAUGAAAAAUAGUACACAAACGAGACAAAUUAAUGCACGUAAUCUAGACAUAAUAAUUAAUAUAAUAUUAAAAUUUAACAAAAGUAACCGUAUUUUAUUUAAAACACUCUUGCCAGUAAUAUAAAACUAGUCUUAGUCAGAAUUUUCAUACAGAAUACGAAUCAGAACUUCCGGCUGAUUGGCUUUUUUAACACAUGCUUCAUGAAGAUUGAGAAAAUGUGACAGGGAAAAUAGGAAAUACAGAUUGGCAGUGGCCAGUCAGCAUGAGAUAUUCACUGAACAUCAAAUAUUAACAUAGACGGAUGUUUCUGUAAGUGUUAGAAUAGAUUUAUUAUAUUUAUUACAUAUUACAUAUAUUAUUUAUUAUUAUUUUAAUAACCGGUUCCGUUUGGUUUUUAUUGGUUCGGUUGGGAGGUAUAACCGGAACCAAACCGUUUAAAUCAGAUCAAUUUUUAAUUUUUCGGUUUCUAAUUGGUUUUUUUGAGUUUUUCCAAAUUUCGAUUCGUUUUGAUUUUAAAUCGGUUUUUUGCUAAGUCCUAAAUUAAGGUAUGGGUUCAAUUAUAGACAAGGUUAAGCUUACUUUUUAAAAAGUCUAACAUCACAAGUAAAUGGUUCACAAGUAAAUGGUCUUAAAACUAUAAAGAAACCAGGAUUGAAGCUCAAAAAUUAUCACCACUACACCCUUUUUUCGUGGUGCAACAAAUUUGGCCUAAAUCAAACGCAAAUCAAACGCAUUUAUACAAGACAAAUGACAGUCUUAAUAUAGGAUUACCCCAUUUUGGUUCAACCAUGAACACUGUUUGAACUAUGCGAUAGUUUCUUUACUAAAAUAUACUUCAGACUCUGGAACUGGAAGGACUAUGGGCCACUUAAAUGCAGCAUAUAUCUUGCAAUUUGAGCUCGAUAAUGGCAAAUUCCAAAUGCAAUCUAUCCACACAUUACACUCAAGUGCGAAAGAAUGAUCCAUGUAUUUUAAGGGUUUUGGUUCCUGGCAUGUGUACAUCAGGGAGUACUUAUAUAACAUACUGAUUUUGGAUCGUUGGAUGAUAUAUGCAUCUAACGGACAUAAUUAUAAAAAAAAUUCGUCAUGCUCAAUUUUUUUUUAUUUGUUUUUUUGCAUAUGAUAUGUAACUUGAAUAAUAAGAGGAAGGGGGAAAGUGAUGCAACUGCAAUUGAAGAAGUCAGUAGUCACUUAUUUAAAUUUCAAAGUACAAAGCCCAAAUAAGCAAUUUCCAAAGAGCUAAGCAAUGAAGGGCCAAGAAAUGGCUAGCUACUGCUAAAGAAAGCAAGUCCUCAUUCCUUGAUCAGAAGAGAUAAGGCAACCGCUCUCAUGCCACGUGUCAACUCAAUAAGAGUGUUUAAUGAUAAGGCAACCAAUCCAAAUUGCUCACACUGUGUGGCUACCAUGUUGCCUUGUCAACUUCACUGUAAUUCAAUGGUCAGAAAAAUUCUGAACUUUAGGAGGUGAAUUGGGAACCAUUGGAUCAGCAGGUUAAACGAUAAUGAGAUGAAAUGCCUAUAUAUUGGAUAGGUGAAGGAACAGAAGCAAGCCUCUCAAACACAAGAGAAGAAAGUAAAAGAACAAGAAGAGAGUAUUAGUACUCAUGGCUUCUUCAAUGAUAUCAUCAGUAGCACCGGUUACCCGUGCAUCCCCUGCUCAGGCUAACAUGGUCGCGCCUUUCACCGGCCUCAAGUCCAUCGCAUCAUUCCCCGUCACCCGAAAGCUUGAGAAUGACAUUACCUCUAUUACCAGCAACGGAGGAAGAGUUCAAUGCAUGAAGGUAUAUAUCUAUACUACUUAAUACUCAGAUAUAUUAUGUGCUAAUGAGGAACCAGUAUAACAUGGCAGAACAUUUCUUAGUUAGUUAUUGCUCAUUUGCUCUCAAAGUAGCACAAUUCUAAGUCAGAUAAAGCAGUCCUAGGUAACUUUAGAGUGAGUAACUUCAGAAUUUUCCUUGAAUAUGUCAAUAAUAUACAAAAAUUAUGUCAACACCUCGAUUAAAAGAUUGUUUUGCUUGUAUUUUCCUCCUGAGCUGAUCUGAGAAAUUUUGUUCUCAAGUCAAACAAUUAGAGACUUUAGCUCAAGAGAAAUGUCACCCCCUGGCAUUGUAGCCUGCGGGAUGUCCUCUAUAUUUUACCAUAGUAACCAUGUCGCCCCUCAAGUGAAGUAGAAUUUAAUUCAAUAAUGAAAUUGAACUACCCAGUAGAGGAAAUUUCUAGUUUUUUUGUAUAAUUUCCACCUUAGCUUGCUCUUAGUAACCCCCCUCAGUCUCAUUAAAUAGUCGGAAAUGUAUAUUCUUAUGAAGACAUGAUCACGUUCUUCAAAUUUUGCAAUCCAACACUGUUUCUAGACAAAUAUACAAUCUGUCGGUUUGUAAUUGAGUAAAUAUGACAUUCACAAAAUAUAUCAAGGAGAACACACCUUGGUUCUGAAAGUGAAUGAUAAAUUAGUUAGGUAACAUAUGUGAAUGGUGCAAGUGCAGGUAUGGCCACCAAUUAACAUGAAGAAGUUCGAGACACUCUCAUACCUUCCUCCUCUCACCACCGAACAAUUGGCAAAGGAGGUCGACUACCUUCUCCGUUCCGGAUGGGUUCCUCGUCUGGAAUUCGAGUUGGAGGUAAGCACUUUCUUCCUACAUAUUUUUCAUGUUCUCUGUUACAUGUUUCUUGACAUUGCUGAUGACAAUUGUGUGUUAAACCAAUAUGCAGCACGGUUUCGUGUACCGUGAGCACAACAAAUCUCCCGGAUACUAUGACGGACGAUACUGGGUUAUGUGGAAGCUUCCCAUGUUCGGGUGCACCGACUCAUCGCAGGUGUUGAAGGAGCUUGAUGAGUGCGUCAAGGAGUACCCCCAGGCGUACGUCCGUAUCAUCGGAUUCGACAACGUUCGCCAAGUCCAGUGCAUCAGUUUCAUUGCUCACCAGCCAGAAUGCUGAUCAAUCUGUCUGUUGAUUUCAUAUAUUUAUCAAUCUUGUUCGGCUCAUAUAUAAACUUCUUGCAAUCUCAUUUCAUUUCUUUCCGUUUUAAAUUUCUUACUUGUAUCUCCAACACAAGGAAAUUGGAACUAUAGAGGAUUAUAUGUAGCGAUUGUUGGUGAUUAUAUAUAUCUACUUGUUUGUUUUCCCUGCACCUUCUAAAUACUUGCAUCAUAUGCUUUCAUGUCGUGAUGUACUUUUUUAUAUAUCUCCGAUUCUCCAUGCAGUAAUUAACCACUACGGUCUUUUUACAC
rnacentral:lncRNA from 1 species